ensembl:antisense 1810041H14Rik RIKEN cDNA 1810041H14 gene
UGCUUCCGGUAGUUCGGGGCGGGUUUGGCGGAUGCCAGAAUUCCCAGUACAGAACCUUACGGCGUGAAGCGCCGUGAGCGAGCCGGUUCUUCCGCCACAGAACACCAGGCCUUUCUCGAGACCUCUGACCUUUCACUGGGCGAGACGGCCGCGAGUCCCACGCAUGCUCAGUACUUCCGUGUGGGCCUUGGCGCUCAGUGAACAGUCUGCUUCCGUAUCUUUGUUAACAUCAGGGCAGCAGUUCUGGUCACCUGGAUUUAUAAACACCAAGAAGUAGCAACAGCCAGUGUGCAAGUCACUGACAACCCAAGUCACCAAAACUCUUACUAAGAACCCAUUAGCUCCUUGAAUUAAAGAUUAUUUUGUGAAAAGAGGCUUGAUCGUCUUGUUCUACACCUGAAAUAAAGCAUUUCCCAUUC